rnacentral:rRNA from 1 species
CAGUAGCCGCGGUAAUACGAAGGGGGCUAGCGUUGUUCGGAAUUACUGGGCGUAAAGGGCGCGUAGGCGGCCAUUCAAGUUAGAUGUGAAAGCCCUGGGCUCAACCUAGGAAUUGCAUUUGAUACUGAUUGGCUAGAGUUCGGGAGAGGUGAGUGGAAUUCCCAGUGUAGAGGUGAAAUUCGUAGAUAUUGGGAAGAACACCAGUGGCGAAGGCGGCUCACUGGACCGACACUGACGCUGAGGCGCGAAAGCGUGGGGAGCAAACAGGAUUAGAUACCCCAGUAGUCCCUGUCUCUUAUAC